GACGUAGGAGGCGAGCGUUAUCCGGAUUCACUGGGCGUAAAGCGCAUGUAGGCGGUUGCACAAGUCCGUUGUUAAAGCCCCUGGCUCAACUGGGGGAGGUCAAUGGAGACUGUGCGACUUGAGGGCAAUAGAGGCACGUGGAACUCCCGGUGUAGCGGUGGAAUGCGUAGAGAUCGGGAAGAACACCAGUGGCGAAGGCGGCUCACUGGCCCGGUACUGACGCUGAGGUGCGAAAGCGUGGGGAGCAACAGG
rnacentral:rRNA from 1 species